UACAGAGGUCUCAAGCGUUGUUCGGAUUCAUUGGGCGUAAAGGGUGCGUAGGUGGCGCCAUAAGUCAGGUGUGAAAUCUCGGGGCUCAACCCCGAAACUGCACUUGAUACUGUGGUGCUGGAGUACUGGAGAGGAGAGUGGAAUUUACGGUGUAGCAGUGAAAUGCGUAGAUAUCGUAAGGAAGACCAGUGGCGAAGGCGAAUCUCUGGACAGUUACUGACACUGAGGCACGAAGGCCAGGGGAGCAAACGGG
rnacentral:rRNA from 1 species